AACGAUGCGAUGACAAAGAGUAGUACAUAUAACGAGGCGUUCAGAGAGCUUGUGGACGGUGCGAACAAGCCGCUAGUUGUAUGGAAUGGGCUUUCGAGCAUUCAAGUUGAAAAAAGUAGGCUUGAACGUUUGCCUUACGUUACAAAGGCGCCAUGCAUACCGCAUGGGCAAAGUGAUUGUCGCAAUGACAAUAACUAGGGUGGCACCACGGUUCUAUCGUCCCUAAA
rnacentral:ncRNA from 1 species